rnacentral:miRNA from 1 species
AUGUGCUGGAGAUGAAGCUGGA